UGUUUGAUUGGGGUUGGAGCUGAAAUCUGUAGGACGGUAGCUCUCCAAGAGCCGGGUUGGAAACCCCUGAGCUAGAGUACACGUUAAAAGUAUAAAAUGACUCAAGUGUAAUUAGAAAAUGUGCUGGAAGGAGUCGGUCAACUGACUUUUCUCACAGGCACAAUGGAGAAGUUCCCCUUAUACGAACAAAGCCAGAGAGCGAACCAGUACCCAUCAAGCCAAAAACUGUAUUCAGAAACUGGAUGGAUACUUCAAUAAAUCCAGAGUUCAUAGGACAAUCAUUACUGCAUUCCGACACAAGGGACGAUUCCCCCCUUCUGCUACUUUACUUCAACAUGUGUGGGCAGUCAUUCAGCCUCACUUGCCACAUCUCACCAUCUGACAUUAUGGAUCCAUUUAGUUUGUUUCACUUUGUUACCGCGUGUAAUCUGAUUUUACAGAAAAAAACUUAAUCACACAAACAUCUAUGACAGAAGAGCCAUGAUUAAAAGUGAUUAAGCCAUGAUUAAGUGAUGCCAUGAUUAAAAAAAAAAAAGGAAAAUCUGAUUUUCCUCUCAUUCUGGUGUGUAGCCUUGAUGACAUGAAUGAAUUUUCUGUACUGAGUAUUACGAUCUAUAUUUGACAAAAACAUCUAAUUAAACUCAAGAAGGGAUGAAAAAUUCCCAUGAC